AACAAGGCGUACCUGCGGACCUGCGGAGGGAUCAUUACCAGAGUGCCUUCAGGCUCUCCAACCCACUGUGAACAUACCUACGUUCCCCCGGCGGGCCCAGCGCGCGGCGGCUCCGGCCGCCCGCGUCCGCCGAGGGCAUCUCAAACCCGAAUUUAUUCGUGUCUUCUGAGGGGCGAAAGCCCGUAAAACAAAAUGAAUCAAAACUUUCAGCAACGGAUCU
rnacentral:misc_RNA from 1 species